AUGCAUGCCGCGUGAGUGAAGAAGGCCUUCGGGUUGUAAAGCUCUUUUGUCAGGGAAGAAACAGCAGCUCUAAUACAGUUUGCGAAUGACGGUACCUGAAGAAUAAGCACCGGCUAACUACGUGCCAGCAGCCGCGGUAAUACGUAGGGUGCAAGCGUUAAUCGGAAUUACUGGGCGUAAAGCGUGCGCAGGCGGUUAUGUAAGACAGGCGUGAAAUCCCCGGGCUUAACCUGGGAAUUGCGCUUGUGACUGCAUAGCUAGAGUGUGUCAGAGGGGGGUAGAAUUCCACGUGUAGCAGUGAAAUGCGUAGAUAUGUGGAGGAAUACCAAUGGCGAAGGCAGCCCCCUGGGAUAACACUGACGUUCAUGCACGAAAGCGUGGGGAGCAAACAGGAUUAGAUACCCUGGUAGUCCACGCCCUAAACGAUGCUGACUAGUUGUUCGGGAAUUUAUUCCUGAGUAACGUAGCUAACGCGUGAAGUCAGCCGCCUGGGGAGUACGGUCGCAAGAUUAAAACUCAAAGGAAUUGACGGGGAACCGCACAAGCGGUGGAUGAUGUGGAUUAAUUCGAUGCAACG
rnacentral:rRNA from 1 species